CCCCUUCUUUCUCUAGGAUUCGUUCCUGUUUCCUGAAGAGCUUGCUGCAGGACUUUCCUGUUGUGAUGUCGCUGGAUCCCUACACUAGCAUUUGCAGGUCCUUCAAGAUGAUAAGGUAGUGAGACAGACCUCAACGAGAGCAGGCUUGCAUCGCACAUAGAAACAUGGGAAGGUUCAAUUGCAAGUAGUUCCAAGUAAUGCAAGAAAAAAAAAAAGUCAAUUCCUCAUUUAGCCAGGCAUGGAAGAUUGCCACCAGUUUAGGCCAGUCUGGGUUACAGAGUGAGACCUUGUCUCAAAAACAAACAAGAAACAUGAACCCAGACGGGCAGGAACUAUGGACUUGUGGAAGGAGCCCUGGGUCAGGCAGUCAGCAGCUCCACAUGGUUCAGUGCCAUCGAGAUCUGCAGAAAACGAGAUUGCCCCCCCAGAUGCCCCCAUGUUCUCACUUUCGUCAGCUAAGAGAAGGACUCUGUGACAGUGUCCUUGAGUCACUGUCAGCUUUGAAGGACUUGAAGGAGUUAGGCAGGAAUUAAAAAGGAGGAAGGACCUGCCACCCCCAGACAGCUCUGAACACAAAAGCUGCCCUGCUGCAUUCAGAGAACUGAAAACAGUUGAACCCAGCAGGAGCGCUUGGUGUGCGAGCCUGUGUCCACAGAGGAGAGUGUGGAUUUGGACUCUGACCUGCCUCGUGAGUCACUGUUUCUCAUUGUCCUGAAGGCAAGGCCUCAGUUUCUCAGAAGAGAUUAGCAGUGACCUGUUCAAGGUGGCUGCACACAGACAAGAGCUGAUAGCAGAUCACAGGGCCCAAGCAGAGGCUCCGGGAACCAUCCGCUUUUGUCUAAGACCCUGUGAGAGCUAGAGUCACCCAAAAUGGACAUCUAUUAACCUCUUGCUGAACUUCAUAUCUAAUGAUAUCCCUGGCUCGUCUUAAAGUCAACAUCAGAACUCCGCCAUGUAAACAUCACAGAAGUCCUAUCUUCCUUGAGACCUCCUGCCCAUGUUUGCUUCUGCUGGACCUUCUUUCCUCUUUUCCUCAUGGUAAUUUACACCUUCAGGUCUGGACUCUUCCAACCCAGCCUCCCCUACCCUCUUGCAUUGGCUUAGGUUGGGUUUAAAAACCAGGGUGUGCUUUUUAGAGCAGUGCCCACCCCUUUUCUGGAGUCUUAGUAUAGCCUCUUAUUUGUCUGUCCUUGAGAGCAGGGAUUGUAUGGAGUUACUUUGUAAACUCUUUGUCUAGAUAUUUAAUAGGUAACCCGGUGAUCAAAGAACCAAAGGAGUAAAUGGAUGGACAAAUAGAUACGUUAAGAAAUAAAGCCUUGUGUUUCU